AUUGAACGCUGGCGGCAGGCCUAACACAUGCCAGUCGAGCGGAUGAGGGGAGCUUGCUCCUGGAUUCAGCGGCGGACGGGUGAGUAAUGCCUAGGAAUCUGCCUGGUAGUGGGGGAUAACGUCCGGAAACGGGCGCUAAUACCGCAUACGUCCUGAGGGAGAAAGUGGGGGAUCUUCGGACCUCACGCUAUCAAAUGAGCCUAGGUCGGAUUAGCUAGUUGGUGGGGUAAAGGCCUACCAAGGCGACGAUCCGUAACUGGUCUGAGAGGAUGAUCAGUCACACUGGAACUGAGACACGGUCCAGACUCCUACGGGAGGCAGCAGUGGGGAAUAUUGGACAAUGGGCGAAAGCCUGAUCCAGCCAUGCCGCGUGUGUGAAGAAGGUCUUCGGAUUGUAAAGCACUUUAAGUUGGGAGGAAGGGCAGUAAGUUAAUACCUUGCUGUUUUGACGUUACCAACAGAAUAAGCACCGGCUAACUUCGUG
rnacentral:rRNA from 1 species